UCAGUUUCCCAGCUACACUGCCAUCUACCUGAGCCCCAUCUGCAGUCACUGGAGCACAGCACUGUGCAGUGACUGGACUAGGAGACUCUGUCAUCUGCCUGAGCCCCCUCUGCAGAGUCACCGGAGCACAGUGUUGUGCAGCAACUGGACUAGGCGAGAACUGCCUUGGGACAACCUUCAGCACCAGGAAACAAAGGGACUGAUGUAGCAGCAAUCAGAAAAAAACAGAAUACAGCAGUACAGACCAAAUUUAUGUUUUAAAGCUACAAACUCUCUGACUUAAAGCAUGGGACCUGUAUCCUCUGGAACUGCAGUCAUUGUGUGGCUGGCUCCCAUGCCUUGGUCAUGGCGGCCAGAUCUGGAGAUGCCACUUCUCAGGUGGUUAGAACCUGCUCGGACUGCUGAGGAACUCCAGCUCUGCUUCACGCUGGCUCACCCUGAAUUGCUUUUCUGAGGUGAAGUCAAGAAUCCCCGCUCCACCCACGUGAGGGCUCAAGAAGACUCAAGCUGCUGCAGAUGGCUGUGUGUGUUGCAAGCCUGUGGCAAAGCCAGUGUGGUAUGAGAGCUGAGCGCUGUGAGGAGGGAGAGAAGGGCUGGAGAAGGCGGACGCCCCUCCCCGCACCCCUCCCACCCACUGCAGGUUGUUGGGAUGCUGUGGGCUGGAGGCUCAGGGCAGAGGAUGUGAUUACUGUGAUGGUGGGAAGUCAUGGCAAGUCCCCGGGGUACAGAGAGGCUGGAGCCAGGUUGUGCUCCAUGCCCUGCCUUUCUUGAGGCCUCUGGAGGCACCCUAGAAAGUGCUAGAAGAGUUCUAAGCUGGCCACAGUCAGGCAUUCUCCUUUCCCUUCCGCCGGAUUUCCCACUGCUCUCCACAGCUACUCACAGGAGAAAUGGACUACAUGGGGUGAAGGUUUCAUGCUUCUGGGGCCAGGCUGUGGCAGUAUACAGGACUUGUACCAGACCAAUGGUGCCGGCAAUCAAGAGUGAGCUAGGAGGAGUCUUGGAGCCUCACCAAGCCACAGGAAGCUCAGCACUGGACAGCUCCGUCAAGUGGCCCACAGGAGGACAGUGGGAAGGACCAGUGCUCCAUCUAUACCGAUCAUGGGUUUGCCAUUUGGAGCCAGAGGUAAUGCCAUUGCCGGUGACUAACACCCUAGCCACAGUGUGUUUUUGUUUUUCUUUGUUUUAAGGGCAAUGCAGGAACCUGUGACUUCUGACCUUUGUGAUGGGCAUCCAGCUUUAUUGAGGAAUCCCCAAUCCUGGGGAACCCUCAGUUCUGGGGAAACACCAAUCCUGGGACCAAACACAAGUGGUGGGCAGGCUUUCAAACAUUCUAAACCAAAACAUUAUUGGUUGUUUGAGACAGAGUUUCAUGUUCAGGUUGGCUUUGAAUUCCUUAUCAGACCGCUACAUCUCAAGUGCUGGGAUAACAGGCAUGGAUCACCAUAUCUGCAAACCCCAACAGCAAACCUAAUUUUGCUGUGUAAAAGGCUUCCAUCAAUAUAAGGAGACAGGAAAGGCCUUGACAUCUUAUUGGAGGGAGGAAGUGGGAGUCAGAUGGUGGUGCGGUGGUGGGGUGGAGAGAAAGGGGAGAGACUAUAGAGUUUAAAGACUUCUGCUUAAGAUGACACGGAAGAACCAGGGAGGUAGCACGGCAGGGCUGUGAGCAUUUAUGGGGUGGAUGGAGAUGACAGACAGCUUGCUCCUGCUUUGUUUCCUCGAAUCGGAGACCCAGAAAUGAUUCCCACCCGCUGGGCUCUCCUGAGGCCCAGCCUUUCCUCAGAAGCAAUGGCGGCCUAUCUUCUGAGGCUCCUACCUCCUUCCAUAUCCCAGUGCCUGUGACGGCUGCAUCCUGGGAACAGUAAAUCUUUAGAGACUAGCUGUCAGCCGGAGCGUCCUAAGCCACCAGCUGCCACCAGCACUGAUAGCAUCGAGAGUGGCUGACGCUGCACCGGGGCUCCAGCACAGCUGAGGCUGGGGAAGGAUGCAGAAGGUCUCCAUCACAGCCUGUGCCUGCACUCCAGGGGACACGCUCCUGUGUGGACCGGAAAGGUGCGCGUCCAUGGCCCAGCAGUGACAGGAUCCUCCCAGGAAGAGAGCAGAGGCCAGAAUGCAGGGAAAUUGCCACAUGUCCAGAGAAACCUCUGUAGCAUUUUUAUCAACACAUUCAACUAAAAACAAAUGACACAAACCAUCUGGUUUGUUUAAUAAAUGGAGCAACAUAAACAUCUAAGACCAACUUCUAAACAAACAGCAAGGCUAAAAUAGUCAUGACACAGAUAAAAAGAAAUCCAAAAUAAAAUGGCAGAUUAAGAAAUAAGCUGUUUCUAUGUGACUUGGUGAAGAAGAGGAUCCAGGAUAAGAAAGAAUGACCCUAUUCCAAAGAGUGAAAGAGCAUGAGGACCUUACAGGAAAAACUGGCAAUACAUGGCAAAGAUGGGAAAAUGACUCGGAAGAGAAAUGUCGGAGAUGUUAGGUAUACAGCACAACUCGAGACACGACAACACUGUGGCCUUGCUUCCCGCUCAGCAGCCCGUUU